UUUCAUAUUUUAAUUAUCAGUUUCGGUUCGGUUCAUGGAAAGUAUGGUCGCCGUUGUGAAUAUGAAUACAUCAUCUCAUCCGAUGAGUUCCGAUGCCCAUCAAAUUCCUAAAAAGCAGUACUCAGCAUUUAUUCGAUUACACAAUGAAUUGGACAAUCUUAGAUUUGGAUGAUAUCGGAUCUCCCAUACGAUGUAUCAUUGUCUGAAACGAAUUUGACUCUAGAUGGGCACAUAUUUGUCUAGAUAUUAACCAAUAGAAUGCUUUCUAUGCCCUUGGAUGGGUUUCUUACAAAUUCUAGCAUCGGAAGCUAUAUAUCGACUGGAUCAUGGUACUGAUCAGUUUAUAAUUCGCUCAAGGAAUCAUUGAUUUUAAAACAUUAAUUUACUGUAUAUAUAAAUUGUAUUAAAAUUGCAACCUACUUUGAAUAAAGGGUUCCAAUAAAAAAACUUGAAUCUAA
rnacentral:lncRNA from 1 species